GUCAAGUCGUUGCUAAGGAGAGGGGAACAAGCGGACGAGCGAGGGUUUGCCUCCGUCUCCAACCGUUGCUGUGGAGACGGAGGCAAAAGGAGGCGGGCCAAGAAGAGUCAGAUUUAUUUGGCAUUCCAAAGGGAGAGGUAUACAGAGUAACGAAAACCAUUUGAUUGGCUUCUCAGCAUCUACGGCCUUGCUCUUCCCGGAAGGUUUUCAGAGCAUACAUCAUGUCUACUUCUCCUGUCCCACCACUAUAAUACAAUUCCAUUCUCAAAGAAGAAUGAAGAAGGCGGGGCCAGGAAGACAUCUUUCCACCAUGUCUCCUUUACCAUCAGAUGGGAGCACUCCCCCCCCCCCCCCAAGGUCUAACUGCCAUUCUGGAACAGAAUGAAUAAGGCGGGGCCAGGAAGACAUCUUUCCACCAUGUCUCCUGUAUCAAUUUAAUGAUAUAAUGAUAUAUAAUAAUAUUAUACUAUACUAAUAUUAUAAUACAUUGUAUAUACAUGUAAUAUUAAUAAUAAUAUUAUGAUGUAAUACAAUGUAAUAAUAAUUAUAAUUCACUAUUAUAAUUGUAUAUUUAUAUUACAUGCAAUAUUACUAAUAAUAUUGCGAUAUAGUUGUAUAAUAUAAUAUAUUGUAUGUAUAUAUACUUGUAAACCGCCCUGAGUCCCCUUCGGGGUGAGAAGGGCGGUAUAUAAAUGUCGCAAAUAAACAAAUAAAUAAAUAAAAUAUGCUAGUGAGGACAGCUUA